GGCUCCUAACGCAGCCAAUGAGAGUCGCCGAAGGUCCUUUUAUAAGUCCUCACAGAGGGCCAGGAGCUCAGUCCUCUACCCCCGGAUGGCGGAGGUGGCCCCCCGAACCCUCCUCCUGCUGCUGUCGGGGGCCCUGGUCCUGACCGAGACCCGGGCGGGCUCGCACUCCCUGCGCUACGUCUACACCGCGGUGUCCCGGCCCGGACGCGGGGACUCGCGCUUCUUCACUGUGGGCUACGUGGACGACACGCAGUUCGUGCGCUUCGACAGCGACGCCGAGAAUCCCCGCGAGGAGCCGCGGGCGCCGUGGAUGGAGCGGGAGGGUCAGGAGUAUUGGGACGGACAGACACAGAUCGCCAAGGACAGCGCACAGACUUACCGAGUGGACUUAAGGACUCUGCGCGGCUACUACAACCAGAGCGGGGACGCUUCUCACACCUUCCAGAGGAUGUACGGCUGCGAGGUGGGGCCAGACGGGCGCUUCCUCAGCGAAUACAUGCAGGACGCCUACGACGGGAAAGAUUACAUCGCCCUGGCCGAGGACCUGAGCACCUGGGUGGCGGCGGACACUGCGGCUCAGAUCACACAGCGCAAGUGGGUGCAGGCCGGUGAGGCAGAGCGAUACAGGGCCUACCUGCAGGGGAAGUGCGUGGAGUGGCUCCUCAGAUACCUGGAGCACGGGAAGGAGAAGCUGCAACGCGCAGACCCUCCAGAGGCACACGUGACCCGCCACCCCACCUCCAAGGAACAGGUCACCCUACGGUGCUGGGCCCUGGGUUUCUACCCUGAGGAGAUCUCCGUGACCUGGCAGCGGGAUGGGCAGAAGCUGACCCAGGAGAUGGAGCUGGUGGAGACCAGGCCUGAUGGGGAUGGAAACUUCCAGAAGUGGGUGGCUGUGGUGGUGCCUUCUGGAGAAGAGCAGAAUUACACGUGCCACGUGCAGCAUGAGGGGCUGUCUGAGCCCCUCGCCCUGAGAUGGGAGUCGUCUCAGCCCUCCAUCCCCAUCCUGGGGGUUGUUGCUGCUGUGAUUGUCCUUGUAGCUGUGCUCACUGGAGUAGUUGGCUUUGUGAUAUGGAGGAGGAGUAGAGCAGGUGCAAAAGGAGGGAACUACACUCAGGCUGCCAGGGGUGACAGUGCCCAGGGCUCUGAUUCCUCUCUCAUGGCUGGCCAUUCUGUCUGGAAUACCACGAGGGUGGGAAAGGCACUGUGCGCGUCCAUGGAUGGGAGCAUUGGCAGAAGCGUUCCAUGCAGGGAAGGCAAACCCAAAGCCACAAUCAGUGUCCACACCAGCAAGGACAAAGUGCUGCCCUCUCCACGAUGGAAGGAUCCAAUCUAAUCGACGUGCCAUCAGGUUGAAGCCUGAUCACUUCAGGAAAUGGAGCCGUGUCAGAACCCACAGUUGGUCUCUGCUGCUGGUGUGUGGGGCAUCGAGCACAUCAGCCUUGUGAGGGGAGUUCCUGUGGCUCGGCCCAUGCACAACCUUCAUCACUGCUACCGUGGCUACUUUGCUCAUGAGCCCAUUGGACAAUGACAGUGGCAGCAGAGGAAAAGAGUCUCCUGUCACAUACAGAUGAGCCUGUCCUACCCAGCCGAGUCACCUUUGGUCCUCUGUGCACGAAGGCAGGCCAGACACCCACAAGGAUCAAUGGCGGCCUCACCAUUGAUGCUGCUGCUGCCCAGACCACAGCUGAGGCCUCCAUGGAGCAGAGGAGGAUAUUCCCUGGAGGUCUCCCGAGGACCUGCGGUGAGAACGGGGUGAAUUCCACAGUGUAGGGGUCCAGUGCUGAGUCUGAGGCUGAGGAGGCAGAGACCCUCACGGGCCUGGUGCCCUCCAGCGCCUGCCUGGCUGUCAGAUGAUGACUCCUGGCUGCCUGCAGCCCACAGACUCUGUCAGCCACAGCAAUACUCGCUGUGCCCUGGAGCUCAGAGACAGCUGGGCAAGAGCUUCCUCUCUGAGGAGCCCAGUCCACUGGGAGGAACUCGUCUGGCUGCCUCUGCCCUCCACAGAGGAGGCGGAGAAGCAUCUCCCGAGAGCGGGGAGGAGAAGGACAGGUGAUGCUGAGAAGGAGCAGUGACUCCGUCACCUGGUGCCCUCCCGUCCUGGCUGUUCCUGCUGAGCUCUGACCUUCUGCUGAAGGCAGAGUGACAGCAUAGCUUCCCCUGUGUCCUGACUGCUCUGUGCAUCGCUCAGUGUCUGGGUGACUUUUGCGCCUCUCUUCCUCCUUUUUCCCUUUUCUUGUCCAGGCUCUAGCUUGCUGUUGCUCACAGCCUGAGCAGAAAGAAAGGGAAGCACACAGUGAGAAUGCAACCACCAUCACUGGUGCCCUGGCCUUGGCCACCACACAGGACAGCUGCUUCCCUCUGUGAGACUUGGAGGCUACAAUUUUGCCAUUAUUAUUGUGCAGUGCACAGAAUCUAUCAGGAGUGACAUUUCUUAGGAAGUGUGGCCCAAGUUGGGCAGCUGUGUAUAUUGGAAAUAUGUGUGUAUGUGUGUAUGUGGCUAUUAGAAGGUAAAUAUGCUCCACUUUCUCAACAGCUUUUUGCACCCUGUUUAGAGUCUCUGGCAGGCUCCCCUGGGGAAUUACAGUGGAGGCCUUUAGGAUUUGGGGUAAGGCUCUGCCAUCAUCUGCAGAUAACUACUCUCCUUUUGAGAAACAGCUGUUGGCCUGCUACUGGCCCCUAGUGGAAACUGAAUGCUUGACGAUAGGAUACCAGGUCACCAUGCGACCUGAGCUGCCUGUCACGGCCUGGGUAUUAAAUGCCCCUUCAAGUCACGAAGUUGGACAUGCACAGUAACAGUCUAUCAUUAAACGGAAGUGGUAUUCAUGAUCGAGCCACAGAAAGACCAGAAGGUACAAGUAAGUUACACGAGGAAGUUGCCCAGAUACCUACGGCUCCUAUUCCCGCUAUGUUGCCUUCAGCUUCCCAGCAUGCGCCUACAGCCUUGUGGGGUGUGCAAUCAGCUGUCAGAGGACGAGAAGCUGGGGCCUGGUUUAGGGAUGGCUCUGCACAUUAUGCAGGCAUCACCCACAAGUGGACAGCUGCAGUAUUACAGAUCCUUUCUGGGACAUCCUUAAAAGACAGUGGUGAAGAGAAAUUGUCACAGCGGGCAGAACUUCGAGCAGUGCAUUUGGCAGUACAUUUUGCCUGGAAGAAGAAAUGGCAGAUGCGAGACUGUAUACUAAUUCAUGGGCUGUAGCCAAUGGUCUAGCUGGAUGGUCAAGAACUUGGGAGCAACAUAAUUGGAAAAUUGGUGACAAAGAUAUUUGGGAAAGAGGUAUGUGGAUAGACCUCUCUAUAUGGGCAAAGAAUGUAAAACUAUUUGUUUCCAUGUAAAUGCUCACCAAAAGGUAACAUCAGCAGAAAACAACUUUAAUAAUCAAGUGGAUAAGAUGACUCGUUCUCUGGAUAGUGGCCAAUCUCCUUCUUCAGCCACCCAGUCAUUGCCCAAUGGGCCCAUGAACAGAGUGGCCAUGGUGGCAGGGAUGGAGGGUAUGCCUGGGCUCAGCAACAUGGACUCCCACUCGCCAAGGCUGAUCUGGCUACCGCCACUGCUGAAUGCCCAGUAUGCCAGCAGCAGAGGCCAACACUGAGUCCCCGAAAUGGCAGCAUCUCCCGAGGUGAUCAACCUGUAAUUAGGUGGCAGUUUGAUUAUAUUGGACCACUUCCAUCAUGGAAGGGACAGUGCUUUUUUUCCUUACUGACAUAGACAUAUGUUCUGUAUAUGGAUUUACCUUCACUGCACAUAAAGCUUCCAUGAAAACUACCAUCAGUGGACUCACAGAAUGCCUUAUCCACUGUCAUGGAAUUCCACACAGCAUUGCCUCUGACCAAGGAACACAUUUUACAGCUAAAGAAGUGAGACAGUGGGCUCAUGCUCAUGGAAUUCCCUGGUCCUGCCAUGUCCCUCUCCAUGCAGAAGCAGCUGGAUUGAUAGAAAGGUGGAAUGGCCUUUUGAAGACAGUUACAACGCCAGCUAGGUGGCAACAGUUUGCACGGCUGGGGUUAGGUACUUCAACAGGGUGUAUAUGCUUUAAACCAAUGUCAAUUAUGUGGCACUGUGUCUCCCACAGCCAGGAUUCAUGGGUCCAGGAAUCAAGGGGUGGAAGUUGGAAUGAAGUCACUCGCCAUCACCCCUAGUGAUCCACUAGAAAGAUUUUUGCUUCCUGUCCCAUGACUUCAUGUAGAAACUGGCCUGGAAGUUUUGGUUCCAGAGAGGGGAAGGCUUAUACCAGGAAGCACGACAAUGGUACCAUUUCCACAUCUAUUUUUCCCCCUAAGGCUAAGACAAAAGAUCUUGGACGCAGAAAAUAUACUAUCUCUCUGCUUGGUGCCUGAAGUUGUGGCAGCACAGGUGCUGUUUUGAAAGUGACUUAAACAGAAAAUUCUUCUGUUUUAAUCUUGAAUGAAACAUUAAGAACUUGGGUUGGAGGAUAAGACCAUGGGCCCCAGAAGAAGCAGAACCACACUUCCUGUGAACCAGCCUCUGCCAUGGGGAUCGGGAAGAGACUCAGCAAGGAGCAGAACCACGCCUUCCCGUGAGCAGCCAGAGUGGGCUGGGAAACCAGGAGAGCAUCCCCACGCCCACCCGUGAGCACCUGGUGAUGCAGAGGACUCAGGAGACAUGAUAGCACCUGAGGGAGGGGACAGCUGGAUGCUGGCGUUGUUUGUUCGGCUCUGCAGGCUGGGGGCUGGUGGUCUGGGCAUCUAUUUGGAGGACAGCAGUGUGCAUUGUGGGGAAUUUUCUUCUGUCUCACUUUUGAAAUCCAGUGUUUUGUUCCAUUUUCCUGUUUCGUUUCAUUCCUGUAUCUGGUAACCUGCGCAAGUAUUCUGAAGAGAACAGUGUGCAGGAUCACAACCACUAUCAUCUUCUCUUGAAAAUCUAUGUAGGUGUUUUUGUUGUUGUUGUUUUGCAUUUGUUAUCGUUGAAUUUUUACGUUUUCUUCUAGAUUUUUUUCAAUUAGAAAAGAAAAAACCAUGAGCUCCAAACUGCUACCAUAGUUACUUUAAUCUUCAUUGCAGAAAACAAGCAAAUAAACUAGCAGUUAAAAAUA